CGAGAGUGAAACUCCAUCUCAAAAAAAGAAAAAAAGGCUGGACACAGUGGCUCACGCCUGUCAUCCCAGCACUUUGGGAGGCUGAGGCGGACAGAUUGCCUGAGCUCAGGAGUUCGAGACCAGCCUGGCCAACAUGUUGAAACCCCGUCUCUACUAAAAUACAAAAGAAAUUAGCUGGGAGUGGUGGCAGGUGCCUGUAAUCCCAGCUACUCAGGAGGCUGAGGCAGGAGAAUUGCUUGAACCUGGGACACGGAGGUUGCAGUGAGACGAGAUUGCCCCAUCGCACUCCAGCCUGCAACAGAGCGAGACUCCUUAACAAGGGAGGCUAUUCUGACACCUGCUACCAUGUGGAAGAAGCUUGACAAUAUUGACCAAUCAGCCAGACACAGAAAGACAAGUCCUGUGUGAUUCCACUUCGAGGAGGUCCCUCGAGUCACCAGAGUCACAGAGACAGAAAGUAUAACGACGCUGAAACUCGGGAGCUUUUGGCGGCCGAGCUGCGUGAAGGGACUUCAAGAGACGAGGAGACGGACCCCGUGGAAACCUCUCCCACCUGGCGAUUGUAGGGGAAGGAGCUUCUAUUCUUGACCCAGCCCACGACACGUGCCGGGGCUGUCAGCGCCGUGAGAGGCACCUGUGUCUCCCCGAGCUGAGGACGGAUGACAUUUGUACCUACAGGGGUAAAAAAAGAUAAAGCAAACACGGAACAGCACACUCCUCCCGGCCUUCCUUCUUCUGACACCGUUUUCCUUUAGAAGAUCUGAAACUACA
rnacentral:lncRNA from 1 species